rnacentral:piRNA from 1 species
UUCUGUCCCAGCUGGAAUGUGAGGAAGGCU